rnacentral:tRNA from 1 species
AAAUGAGAAGCAAUAACUGCGUAUAGUUUCGACCUUUAGAUUGAUAAUUCAAAUUUAUCCUCAUUUU